CCCUUAGAUGUUCUGGGCCGCACGCGUGCUACACUGAGUGGAUCAGCGGGUCAGGUUGCGCGAAAGCGUUUCCUAAUCUUGAAAUCCGCUCGUGAUGGGGAUUGACGGUUGCAAUUUUCUGUCAUGAACGAGGAAUACCUUGUAAGCGCGAGUCAUCAUCCCGCGCUGAAUACGUCCCUGCCCUUUGUACACACCGCCCGUCGCUCCUACCGAUUGAGUGGUCCGGUGAGGCUUUGGGAUCUGAGCGGAAAGAGCGUUUCGCUCGUUCUGCCCGGAGAACUCAGUCGAACCUUAUCAUUUAGAGGAAGGAGAAGUCGUAACA
rnacentral:rRNA from 1 species